GCCCUAGACCCUGGAUGUGACUGAGCACAGAGGGCAGCGCUGUCCUUUCCCAGAAAAUGACCCUUGCUCCAACUUGAUCUGCUGUAAAAGGAGGUCUGAGCCAGCCUCUCGCAGAAAGAAAUUGCUAAUUGGGAAGCAGUGCCACCUGGUGGAGGAAGAGGCCCAUGCACGCAAGCAGAUGUCAUUUCCCACUGACCUAAUUUAUGGAAAAUUGAAUGGAAGACAGAAGACAUUUGAGAUUGUAAGCCUGUGCCCAAAAUCUUAAGGAAGGCAGGCAGCUGGCCAUAAAAGUAAUCUGAGCAGUCUCCUCUUUCAGCCUUUGCAAUCUAAGUUUGUGAUAAACAUCUUAAACGUGUGGAUGGUACGUGACGGUUUCCUUUGCACUUUCCUCUGUGCUCGUCGGUCAGCACAACUGUGAUGGGCAUGGGAUCAUCUUCCCUAUUUUAUGGAUGAGGAACUUGGGGUUUAGAGGGGUUAAGUGCCACAGACACACCGGUGAUGAAGGCCAGGCCCCAGCUUAUGUUUAAUGCCCACCUCUCGAACACCUUGCCUGCCGCACAGGUAGCUUUGCUGCUGACCCCAGGGCAGUGGCCUUUUUAAUCCAUAUAAAAUGAUAGGGGCACAUGGAUAUUACAACCAUGGGGCCUCUGGAUUCCUGAGAGAGGAGUGGGGUGGGCCUAGUGGGUCGGUAUGUCUCUUUUCUGCGUCUCUGUUGAAGGAGUUCAAGGCAUGGGAUGAGGGAGUUUCCAGAGAUGGGAAACCUCAGGACUGUUACAGCUAGGCCUUAAGCACUUGUCUGUCUCAGGUAAGCUCAAGGAGCAGCACAUCCAUGGUUUAAACGUGCACAGACCUCUGUGGGAACACUGAGUUUUGCUUUGCAAGCAUCAUUAUCCCCAGGUGUCUUGAUAAAUCAAGCAUAAAGUGAAUAUUCCAUUAGUUUUGAAACUUCAGAACUUAGGAAAAAAUCAGUACGAGGGCAAGCAGAAAGGACACAUAACUGCUGAUACUUUUAAAGCUCCGACAUUUGCAUAUAGAUUGUCCCAAGCACUCCCUCUACCAGCCAGCACCACUCAGAAACACUCCCCACACCAAGAAGGAUGGAGGCAAAGUCACCUUGAAGCAGGAACGGUGAUAGUCACACCCACCCCAAAGGCUCUUCUGAAUGCUAAGAAUGCCACCAGGUUACCCAGCAGUUACUCAGUGCUCAUCCUUGCUAGCAUGUCAGGGUUGGGUCAUCUUUGUAACGUGUAACUCAGUUGUGCAGUGGAUGCCUUCAGUGUGAGUUGUGCAUUGGAGCUAGUGUGAGAGGGGGCACCCAUCAUGGCUUUGUUCCCAGCACCCACCCACAGUACACAUGCCCUUUCUCAGGCUUAUUUACAGAAGAGGGUAACAUCACUUUGUGGACUAGCAACAAGGAUUAAAUCUGGCAAAAUAAUAAAGCACUCAGUGUGUGACACACAGUGGGUGCUCAGUAAAUUUGUAUUGGUAGCUAACACCUUAAUGCCCAUUGAAGGCACUAUUAGCUCAUUUCAACCUCACAACAACUCUGUGAGGUAGGUACUCUGCCCCAUUUUACAGCUGGGGAAGCUGAGGCACAAAGGCUAAGUAAGUGUCCAAGGGCACAGAGCAAUUAAGUGACAGGGCCGGGAUUGGAACCCACUGCUUUUACCCACUGGGCAGCUCCCCUUCUCUGGGGUGCCCACGUCACAGGACUUUUGUAGGCGCUCACUCUGGUGGCAUGGAGUGCCCUGUGUCGGGAUCAGGCAGGCGGGUCUCUGAGGCAGGCUCUGCCUUGUCAUCUUGAACAAUUGGCCCUCCUGGACCUUCGAAGUUUUCUCCAAAAGCUGGGGGGAUGGUCGGUAAAGAGUAGUAGAAACUGAACCAAAUGAUCUCAAAAUUCUAUGACUUGAAGCUUUUCACUUUAAAUGAUUUAUCAAGAUUUUAUAAUUCUUUACACUUAUUUUUGGUUUAACUGAUUUGAAGUCUUUAUUGGAUGUGGUCAGGAACACAAACCCCAGCUGUCACCGUGUGCCUGUGGGAGGGAACACGCCUUCCCGGUCCUGGGGGAGAGCCGGAGCCAAGAGGACAGACCUCACUCAGGUGACCAGUCGCUAGGUGGCAGCACCAGCAGUUCUGGCUGUACGUAGUCUCGCUGAAGAGCAGAUUCUGGCCCUCCUUACGCACUGUCCUAGACUUUCCAGGCUCUUCUCCACUUACAUUGAUAAAGUUUUCUCCUGCAGGGACGUUUCAGUCAAAAAAUAAAGCUCACAUGCCAAGCCUUGUGCUGAAGGACUCAGGUUAGGCGUAGCUCGCAGACUGGUGACACGGGGAUGGGCAAACUGCGGCCCAUGGCUAAGACCAGUUUUUACAUCUUUAAAUGGUUGAAAAAGAAACAAAAGGGGAAUAAUUUUUCAUGGCCCAUGAAAAUUACAUGAAAUUCAAAUUUCAGUGUCUACAAAUAAACUUUAUUGGAAUACAGCUACUCUCAUUCAUUUAUGUAUCGUGGCUGCUUUCGCCCUACAACAGCAAAGGUGAGCAGGUAACGGCAGAGACCGUGUGGCCCUCAAAGCCUGACAUAGUUACUCUCUGUGCCUGUACGGAAAAAGCUAGCUGACCCCGCCAUAGAUGCACCUCAUCU
rnacentral:lncRNA from 1 species